ensembl:lncRNA
CAGCGGAAGUUUAGGGGCGGGGCCCACGGGAUGGAUUGAAAGUGUGGGCCUCAGGAUGAGAGAGGGGAGCAACUUUAGGGUAGAGUUGAGGCGGUCGGACUAGAUGGAGGUGGGGACAAGGGGCACCUCAGGACGCGGACGCAGCCGCCAACCACCAGGACGCCGGCCUGUGACCUGGGAAAUCUCUGACUCAGAGCCCGAGAGCCCAUCCAGCUACCGUGCCGAGGGCCUUGGUGACCCAGGAGAGGCGAGUGCCGAAUCUAAGGACCCUGGGGGCCUUGAUCCCCCAGUGGGUCCCGUGGCUGCUCCGGGGCAAGCCCGGCCUCGGGAAAGGGUGGGGAGAAAGGCGCAGGAGAAGCUGGGUACUGCAGCUGCUCGAGCCGAGGCCCGGAGGAAGGACCGGGAGCUGGAAAGGCAGAAGAGGAAAAGUGCAGCUGAAGCCCUCAGGCUAAUGCGACCGGACCGUUGCCUGAUGCACUUGACCGUCCUUCUGGACCCAGCUCUCCUGGAAAAUGCUGGCUCUGAUAUCCUAAUAGAGGCUUUGGUUUCCCUGAAAUGUGAGUAUGUCAUUGAGCCUCAGCCAUGGGUCCAAAGUCUCACCUGGAAGAGAUCAGUGCCAACCAUCUGCCAGAGCAGUGCUGCUCCUGCUUCACUAUGGGUUGCAGAAGUUCAGGAAGUACUGGUGGUCCUGGAACCAGAGGAAUUUCUCAAAGGCCUCAUCUCACUAGCACAGGUGCUGGGGAGUGAGAGAGUCAGCCACUCCUUGGCAGCCUCUCUCUUUAUUCAAGAUGCUAAACUAUUUUCUAGCCCUGUCUUAUCUACCCCUGCCCCAGUAUAUUCACAUCUAAAGCUGGCAGCAGGGAGAAUUCAUCUUUAGGCCCAGAGGUUCCUCUUUUUUU